UCUUCGGUAGUAUAGUGGUCAGUAUCCCCGCCUGUCACGCGGGAGACCGGGGUUCGAUUCCCCCGCCGGAGAG
rnacentral:tRNA from 1 species